UGAACGCUGGCGGCGUGCCUCAUACAUGCAAGUCGAGCGAACAGAUGAGGAGCUUGCUCCUCUGACGUUAGCGGCGGACGGGUGAGUAACACGUGGAUAACCUACCUAUAAGACUGGGAUAACUUCGGGAAACCGGAGCUAAUACCGGAUAAUAUAUUGAACCGCAUGGUUCACUAGUGAAAGACGGUUUUGCUGUCACUUAUAGAUGGAUCCGCGCCGCAUUAGCUAGUUGGUAAGGUAACGGCUUACCAAGGCGACGAUGCGUAGCCGACCUGAGAGGGUGAUCGGCCACACUGGAACUGAGACACGGUCCAGACUCCUACGGGAGGCAGCAGUAGGGAAUCUUCCGCAAUGGGCGAAAGCCUGACGGAGCAACGCCGCGUGAGUGAUGAAGGUCUUCGGAUCGUAAAACUCUGUUAUUAGGGAAGAACAAAUGUGUAAGUAACUAUGCACGUCUUGACGGUACCUAAUCAGAAAGCCACGGCUAACUACGUG
rnacentral:rRNA from 1 species